CGUAAGCGGCGCGCAGGCGGCUNUCUAAGUCUGAUGUGAAAGCCCACGGCUCAACCGNGNAGGGUCAUUGGAAACUGGGAGGCUUGAGUGCAGAAGAGGAGAGCGGAAUUCCACGUGUAGCGGUGAAAUGCGUAGAGAUGUGGAGGAACACCAGUGGCGAAGGCGGCUCUCUGGUCUGUAACUGACGCUGAGGCGCGAAAGCGUGGGUAGCGAACAGGAUUAGAUACCCUGGUAGUCCACGCCGUAAACGAUGAGUGCUAAGUGUUAGGGGGUUUCCGCCCCUUAGUGCUGCAGCAAACGCAUUAAGCACUCCGCCUGGGGAGUACGGCCGCAAGGCUGAAACUCAAAGGAAUUGACGGGGGCCCGCACAAGCGGUGGAGCAUGUGGUUUAAUUCGAAGCAACGCGAAGAACCUUACCAGGUCUUGACAUCCCGCUGGCCGGUCUGGAGACAGAUCUUUCCCUUCGGGGACAGCGGUGACAGGUGGUGCAUGGUUGUCGUCAGCUCGUGUCGUGAGAUGUUGGGUUAAGUCCCGCAACGAGCGCAACCCUUGAUCUUAGUUGCCAGCAUUNAGUUGGGCACUCUAAGGUGACUGCCGGUGACAAACCGGAGGAAGGUGGGGAUGACGUCAAAUCAUCAUGCCCCUUAUGACCUGGGCUACACACGUGCUACAAUGGAUGGUACAGAGGGCAGCGAGACCGCGAGGUGGAGCGAAUCCCUUAAAACCAUUCUCAGUUCGGAUUGCAGGCUGCAACUCGCCUGCAUGAAGCCGGAAUCGCUAGUAAUCGCGGAUCAGCAUGCCGCGGUGAAUACGUUCNCGGGCCUUGUACACACCGCCCGUCACACCACGAGAGUUUGUAACACCCGAAGUNGNUGGGGGUAACCUUUUGGAGCCAGCCCGCC
rnacentral:rRNA from 1 species